AUGGCACCAUUUGAGGCUCUGUACGGGCGGAGAUGUCGUACCCCGCUAAAUUGGUCAGAAACCGGAGACAGCCAUAUCUUCGGCCCAGACAUGCUCAAGGAGGCUGAAGAUAAAGUUAAGGUGAUUAGGGAUCGACUCAAGACAGCCCAAAGUCGACAGAAGAGUUAUUACGAUCAAAAACAUCGGGGAAUCAGCUUUGAACCCGGUGAAUUUGUGUACCUACGAGUAUCCCCUAUGAGAGGCCUGCAUCGAUUCAAGAUUAAAGGGAAGCUGGCACCAAGAUUCAUCGGACCAUUCUGCAUAGUGGCACGGAGAGGCACGGUAGCAUACCAGCUAGACUUACCCGAAGAUUUAUCCGACGUCCACGACGUGUUCCACGUCUCGCAAUUGAGGAGGUGCGUGAGCAACCCAGAGAAGCAAGUAUCCCAUGAAAACAUUGACGUGCAGCCAGACCUCACAUAUCGAGAGCAUCCAAUAAAAAUCUUGGAGGAGUCUGAAAGGAGGACCCGACAGAAAACCAUCAAGUUCUUCAAAGUUCAGUGGAGCAACCACACCGAGGGUGAAGCCACUUGGGAAAGAGAGGAUUUUCUUCGGACAGAGCACCCACACUUAUUUGAGAAUCAACUGAAAUCUCGGGGACGAGAUUUUUCUUAA
rnacentral:rRNA from 1 species